rnacentral:rRNA from 1 species
UACAGAGGUCUCAAGCGUUGUUCGGAAUUACUGGGCGUAAAGGGCUCGUAGGCGGCCAACUAAGUCAGACGUGAAAUCCCUCAGCUUAACUGGGGAACUGCGUCUGAUACUGGAUGGCUUGGAUUUGGGAGAGGGAUGCGGAAUUCCAGGUGUAGCGGUGAAAUGCGUAGAUAUCUGGAGGAACACCGGUGGCGAAGGCGGCAUCCUGGACCAAUAUUGACGCUGAGGAGCGAAAGCCAGGGGAGCAAACGGG